AAUAUUGCGCAAUGGGGGAAACCCUGACGCAGCGACGCCGCGUGAAUGAUGAAGGCCUUCGGGUCGUAAAGUUCUGUCCUCGGGGAAGAAUGUCGUCAUUUAUGACGUCUUUGACGGUACCUGAGGAGGAAGCCCCGGCUAACUACGUGCCAGCAGCCGCGGUAAUACGUAGGGGGCAAGCGUUGUCCGGAAUUAUUGGGCGUAAAGGGUGCGUAGGCGGCCACUUAAGUCAGAUGUGAAAGACCACAGCUUAACUGUGGGGUUGCAUUUGAAACUGAUUGGCUUGAGUGUCGGAGAGGGUAGUGGAAUUCCCGGAGUAGCGGUGAAAUGCGUAGAUAUCGGGAGGAACACCAGUGGCGAAGGCGACUACCUGGACGACAACUGACGCUGAGGCACGAAAGCUAGGGGAGCAAAC
rnacentral:rRNA from 1 species